ACGAACGCUUGCGGCGCGCCUAAUACAUGCAAGUCGAACGAGGUAGCAAUACCAAGUGGCGCACGGGUGAGGAACGCGUGGAUAAUCUGCCCUUCAGUGGGGAAUAACUAUCCGAAAGGAUGGCUAAUACCGCAUGAGACCACAGGGCCUGCGGGUCUAGGGGUUAAAGGAGUAAUUCGCUGAAGGAUGAGUCUGCGUGGGAUUAGCUAGUUGGUGGGGUAACGGCCUACCAAGGCUACGAUCUCUAACUGGUCUGAGAGGAUGACCAGUCACACUGGAACUGAGACACGGUCCAGACUCCUACGGGAGGCAGCAGUAGGGAAUAUUGCGCAAUGGGGGAAACCCUGACGCAGCGACGCCGCGUGAGUGAUGAAGGCCUUCGGGUCGUAAAGCUCUGUUGUCCGGGACGAAAAAAAUGACGGUACCGGACAAGAAAGGACCGGCUAACUUCGU
rnacentral:rRNA from 1 species